GCGCCUACAAGGGAGGAGCAGGCGCGCAAUUACCCAAUCCUGACUCAGGGAGGUAGUGACAAGAAAUAACAAUAAACCGGCUUAUGCCGGUUUAAUUGGAAUGAGUACAAUUUAAACAUCUUAACGAGGAACAAUUGGAGGGCAAGUCUGGUGCCAGCAGCCGCGGUAAUUCCAGCUCCAAUAGCGUAUACUAAAGUUGUUGCAGUUAAAAAGCUCGUAGUUGGAUUUCUGUGGGGACGGAGCGGCCGGCCGCACAUCGCGGUUCGAGCUAGCGCUUUCCCUACAUCCUGCCGCGAACCGUGCUACCAUUAGUUUGGUGGCGCCGGGGAUCGGCUCGAUUACUUUGAGAAAAAUAGAGUGUUCAAAGCAGGCCACAUGCCUUGAAUAAGUUAGCAUGGAAUAAUAACUAAGGACUUCGGUUCUAUUUUGUUGGUGUUCGGGACUGAAGUAAUGAUUGAUAGGGACAGUUGGGGCGGUCUGUAUUCCAAAGCGAGAGGUGAAAUUCUUAGACCUUCGGAAGACAAACAGCUGCGAAAGCGUUCCGCAAGGAUGUUCCCUUUGAUCAAGAACGAAAGUUGGGGGAUCGAAGACGAUCAGAUACCGUCGUAGUCUCAACUAUAAACUAUACCAGCUAGGGAUCGGCCAACGUUAUUUUAUACCGACUUGGUCGGCACCUUAUGAGAAAUCAAAGCAUCUGGGUUCCGGGGGGAGUAUGGUCGCAAGGCUGAAACUUAAAGGAAUUGACGGAAGGGCACCACCAGCCGUGGAGCCUGUGGCUUAAUUUGACUCAACACGGGAAAACUUACCAGGUCCGGACAUAGUAAGGAUUGACAGAUUGAUAGCUCUUUCUUGAUUCUGUGGGUGGUGGUGCAUGGCCGUUCUUAGUUGGUGGAGCGAUUUGUCUGGUUAAUUCCGUUAACGAACGAGACCCCAGCCUGCUAAAUAGCGCGAGUGAGCUUUGCUCGCUGCGAGCUUCUUAGAGGGACUAUGAUGCGCGAUAGCACAUGGAAGUUUGGGGCAAUAACAGGUCUGUGAUGCCCUUAGAUGUUCUGGGCCGCACACGGGCUACACUGGCGCCUGCAACGAGCAUAUCAGCUGGCCCGAGAGGGUCUUGGCUAAUCUUUUGAACCGGCGCCGUGCUUGGGAUUGACCUUUGCAAUUGUUGGUCAUGCGACGAGGAAUGCCUUGUAAACGCGAGUCAUCAGCUCGCAUUGAAUACGUCCCUGCCCUUUGUACACACCGCCCGUCGCUCCUACCGAUGAAUGUUCCGAUGAAAUUUUCGGAGAGCACCUGUGAACUUGGCUCUGCCUUGCGAACGGGAGGCUCAAAGUCAC
rnacentral:rRNA from 1 species